AGAGUUUGAUCAUGGCUCAGAACGAACGCUGGCGGCGUGGAUAAGACAUGCAAGUCGAGCGGGAUUUCUUUUGGUAGCAAUACCGAGAGAAAUUCAGCGGCGAACGGGUGCGUAACACGUGGGCAAUUUGCCUUAAAGUGUGGGAUAGCUCGGCGAAAGCCGAAUUAAUACCGCAUGUGGCUACUGGAGACAUCUUCGGGACGCUAAAGGUGGCGCAAGCUACCGCUUUUUGAGGAGCCCGCGGCCUAUCAGCUUGUUGGCGAGGUAACGGCUCACCAAGGCGAUGACGGGUAGCUGGUCUGAGAGGACGACCAGCCACACUGGGACUGAGACACGGCCCAGACACCUACGGGUGGCAGCAGUCGAGAAUUUUUGACAAUGGGGGAAACCCUGAUCGAGCGACGCCGCGUGGAGGAUGAAGGUCUUCGGGUUGUAAACUCCUGUCAUUUGGGAACAAGGCGUAGGUAUUAACUGUACGUGCGUUGAUAGUACCAGAAGAGGAAGAGACGGCUAACUCUGUGCCAGCAGCCGCGGUAAUACAGAGGUCUCAAGCGUUGUUCGGAUUCAUUGGGCGUAAAGGGUGUGUAGGUGGCGCGCUAAGUCGGGUGUGAAAUUUCGGAGCUUAACUCCGAAACUGCAUUCGAUACUGGCGUGCUUGAGGACUGGAGAGGAGACUGGAAUUUACGGUGUAGCAGUGAAAUGCGUAGAUAUCGUAAGGAAGACCAGUGGCGAAGGCGGGUCUCUGGACAGUUCCUGACACUGAGACACGAAGGCCAGGGGAGCAAACGGGAUUAGAUACCCUAGUAGUCC
rnacentral:rRNA from 1 species